rnacentral:rRNA from 1 species
UACGUAGGGUGCAAGCGUUAAUCGGAAUUACUGGGCGUAAAGCGUGCGCAGGCGGUUUUGUAAGUCUGUCGUGAAAUCCCCGGGCUCAACCUGGGAAUGGCAAUGGAUACUGGCAGGCUAGAGUGCGGUAGAGGGUAGUGGAAUUCCCGGUGUAGCGGUGAAAUGCGUAGAGAUCGGGAGGAACACCAGUGGCGAAGGCGGCUACCUGGACCAGCACUGACACUGAGGCACGAAAGCGUGGGGAGCAAACAGG